CCCGUCUAACGCGAGUGCUGGUUCCGGCCCAGGAGGGGACUAAGCCUUACCAGCCAGAGAAGUGUGCUUGCCGUGUGCCAGCAUUUUAUGUAACACGGUUUACCAUACGGUCUCUUGAGUCCUUGUAACACAUCUUUGAGUUUUCCCAAGAUUGGAGUUAUCAUGUCAUUUUGGUAGCUGUUUGAUCCACCUGGCCUGGAACUGGAGCCCUGAAUGCGCUCUGCUCCUCACGGACCUGCAUGACCUCAGGCUCUUUCUGUGCUUCAGUUCCUUUGUUUGGAGCACGGAGUGGAAAUGUAGCAGACAUCUUAAAACGACUAGAUUAUGGAGCUCAUGAAGAUCAGAAGUCCGGCGUUUGCAGAGUUCAGACCGAUUGGGAGGAUACGCAUUCCAAGAAAUUACCUUAAGAUUUGUUUCACCAUUAAAGUGACAUUCUCAGCUGUGCUCCAAUCAACUGGAUAAAAGCGGAAAACCCAUCAGAAGUUGUUCCUGUUGACUAUCACCUUUCAAAUGCCAGCAACUUGCCUUUCCAGAUGCACGGUGGUGCUGCUUCCAGAAGGGCUCCCCACUGCCCACAGAAUUGAUGCCAGAGGCCAGCGUCUGCCAUUUGAGAAGCAUUUAAUCUGGGAGGACCAACCUUUCUAGACCCCAAUCCUGUAUCCCCAAGCCCCUCCCCAACACCAUAUGCUCAAGCCAUGCCGGACUUGUAGUUUCCUGAUUUUGUAGCCUUUCCCGUCCAUACCUCCAGCCUUCACGUGACCACAGCCCUAACUGACGUCUUGACUGCAACUUCAUGAGGGGCCGUGGGCCAGAAUCACCCAGCUAAGGCGCUCCUGGAUUCCCGACCCACAGCGCUGUGAUAAAUAAAUAGCUGUUGUUUUAAGAUGCUACGUUUUGGGGAAAUUUGUUACAGAAUAAUGGAUUCCCCUCCCUGGCCUGGUAUUGUUAUAAAUCAGCAGGAGGAUCCAAGCAACCUCCUGCUGUGUUGCUCAGAGUCGGCAAACUCCCCACACUAGAUUCGGCCCUCAUCACACGUCCGGAGUGGACAGUGUGGAAAUGGAGAGACAGGACAUGCAACUAAUGUGAAGCUUGAGGAGGAGAAAGCAGAAGACGAAGACCUGUUCACAAGUUGGUAGCUGGAUGCCUACAAUGUCUGAGCUGGCUUUUCCCCUUUUCUAUGAAGGGAGAGGCAGUAGAGCAGGGAGAAGAAUGAAUAUUUUGA
rnacentral:lncRNA from 1 species